UACAGAGGUCUCAAGCGUUGUUCGGAUUCAUUGGGCGUAAAGGGUGCGUAGGCGGCGCGGUAAGUCGGGUGUGAAAUCUCGGAGCUUAACUCCGAAACUGCAUUCGACACUGCCGUGCUUGAGGACUGGAGAGGAGACUGGAUUUACGGUGUAGCGGUGAAAUGCGUAGAUAUCGUAAGGAAGACCAGUGGCGAAGGCGGGUCUCUGGACAGUUCCUGACGCUGAGGCACGAAGGUCAGGGGAGCAAACGGG
rnacentral:rRNA from 1 species